CCAUGCAGUCGAGCGGUAGCACAGAGAGCUUGCUCUCGGGUGACGAGCGGCGGACGGGUGAGUAAUGUCUGGGAAACUGCCUGAUGGAGGGGGAUAACUACUGGAAACGGUAGCUAAUACCGCAUAACGUCGCAAGACCAAAGUGGGGGACCUUCGGGCCUCAUGCCAUCAGAUGUGCCCAGAUGGGAUUAGCUAGUAGGUGGGGUAACGGCUCACCUAGGCGACGAUCCCUAGCUGGUCUGAGAGGAUGACCAGCCACACUGGAACUGAGACACGGUCCAGACUCCUACGGGAGGCAGCAGUGGGGAAUAUUGCACAAUGGGCGCAAGCCUGAUGCAGCCAUGCCGCGUGUGUGAAGAAGGCCUUCGGGUUGUAAAGCACUUUCAGCGGGGAGGAAGGCGAUAAGGUUAAUAACCUUGUCGAUUGACGUUACCCGCAGAAGAAGCACCGGCUAACUCCGUGCCAGCAGCCGCGGUAAUACGGAGGGUGCAAGCGUUAAUCGGAAUUACUGGGCGUAAAGCGCACGCAGGCGGUCUGUCAAGUCGGAUGUGAAAUCCCCGGGCUCAACCUGGGAACUGCAUUCGAAACUGGCAGGCUAGAGUCUUGUAGAGGGGGGUAGAAUUCCAGGUGUAGCGGUGAAAUGCGUAGAGAUCUGGAGGAAUACCGGUGGCGAAGGCGGCCCCCUGGACAAAGACUGACGCUCAGGUGCGAAAGCGUGGGGAGCAAACAGGAUUAGAUACCCUGGUAGUCCACGCCGUAAACGAUGUCGAUUUGGAGGUUGUGCCCUUGAGGCGUGGCUUCCGGAGCUAACGCGUUAAAUCGACCGCCUGGGAGUACGCCGCAAGGUUAAAACUCAAAUGAAUUGACGGGGGCCCGCACAAGCGGUGGAGCAUGUGGUUUAAUUCGAUGCAACGCGAAGAACCUUACCUGGUCUUGACAUCCACAGAACUUAGCAGAGAUGCUUUGGUGCCUUCGGGAACUGUGAGACAGGUGCUGCAUGGCUGUCGUCAGCUCGUGUUGUGAAAUGUUGGGUUAAGUCCCGCAACGAGCGCAACCCUUAUCCUUUGUUGCCAGCGGUUAGGCCGGGAACUCAAAGGAGACUGCCAGUGAUAAACUGGAGGAAGGUGGGGAUGACGUCAAGUCAUCAUGGCCCUUACGACCAGGGCUACACACGUGCUACAAUGGCAUAUACAAAGAGAAGCGACCUCGCGAGAGCAAGCGGACCUCAUAAAGUAUGUCGUAGUCCGGAUUGGAGUCUGCAACUCGACUCCAUGAAGUCGGAAUCGCUAGUAAUCGUAGAUCAGAAUGCUACGGUGAAUACGUUCCCGGGCCUUGUACACACCGCCCGUCACACCAUGGGAGUGGGUUGCAAAAGAAGUAGGUAGCUUAACCUUCGGGAGGGCGCUUACCACUUUGUGAUUCAUGACUGGGGUGAAGU
rnacentral:rRNA from 1 species